GUUUACAUUCCAAAAGAAAAAUAUAUUUGCAACCAGAGAAAUAACAUUCAUCUUCUUCAUGAAAAUGGAAAAUAUUUAUAGUAUUUUUCAAGCAAUGUUUGUGUUGACGUCUUCAUCAACGCCAACACUUUUGUGGAAAAAAUAUUGAUAGAGAUAAAUCGGUAUUUUUCCACCCCAAAAUAAUAAUAUACGUUCCUGCCAACACUUGGAAUUCAUUCAUAGCAGUAGAAAGCAAAUUAUCAGGGCUAUGAGUAAUUGUGGAGCCAUGCAGUAUGUGUUUGAAGGGAUGUGUGUGAGGUUGGGUGUGUCAGUGGGCGACUUUCUGUCCUGGGGUUUAUAGAAACAGACAACUGGGCAACAGCUGUCUUGUGGCCUCAGCCACCAUAUCAGAUGCUGGAGGAUCUACACCAGAAACAUUAUGAGUGCUUUGUCUGCAACAGUCUUCUGUAGACUUCUCACUUUACUACACAUUGCUGUCAACCAGCCAUUGAAGGUGCUUUCAGAGGAAGACGUAAUUCCUUCUAAUGGUCCCAAAGGUCCUCACUUCCACCUGCUCUGCUGCAAGGAGACUGGGAGAAGCCACCAGGCCUAUAGCUGCACUGCAGCGUGACUUGCAAAUACCAAGGAAGAGGCUCUGACAGUUUAAAUAAAUACCUGUAUGUCUGCUUCCUCAUGUCAUAAUCAUUGAGCCAACCCACAUCUGUAGGGCUCGGAAGAUAAGGAUGUUUAACUCAAGGUGGAGAGCACUAACAGAGUGACCUUCGGCCCAUCAUGUCCACUGGGACUGUCCAACAGUUGAAUACAUCAGAGAUGGGCAGGCUGUCUGUCCUGUGGUCGUGGAUGCUCUAGAGACGGCACAUUCAAAGCUGCAUAGGCAUUGCCUAAAGCCAGCUUUUCUUCUACUAAAAAUGAAUAAAUAAGUAAAUAACUAAAUGAAACUCAUAUAGGAGCACACAGGCUUCUGGAAAUUUGGGGCAUGGAUCCAUUGGUAAUAAAUUCAUAAGACAUGCAGCUCUCCCCAUGACUCCCUUUCACUGAUUCCUAAGAACUGCAAAAGGAUUCUGGAGUUUUCCUCCAGCAGAGAAAUGUGCUUUUCCUGUCUCCUGGAGGAGCUGGAAGGUAGAACAUUCCAAAUACUGCAAGAUAGAUGCUCAUGUAACCACUCAUGGGACUGUAGGCUCAGAUCCAGUGUGACAUCAGUCAAUAUUUCUGUUUUUCGGUUGGUAUUUCUCUCUGACUGCUUCACUGGCAAUAGCCACCAUCAACACACCUUUGGUAUCUUUCCCAUUACCACCUGGGCAACUAGCAAGUUUUCAGAAAGAAAAAUUAAGAAUAUAGAAUGUCAAAUAUGGAUUUUUAAAAACAAGUACAGUAUUUAAAGGAAAAAAAAAAAGAUUUUUUUUCCUCCAAUCAGCAGUUCUAAUGUAAUCCUACAGAUGUUCAGACAUACUAAAAGACCAAUUGUUUUCUAUUUGUUUCUCUAGGGCUUUUCUUUUAGCCACAAAUGGGAACCAUUUCACAUUACAGAAGUUGAAGGCUGUUCUCUACUAUCACCAUACUCCGUAUAUUUCCCACUAACAGGACAUAAAUAAUUCCAACAAAAAGGCACGUUAAGAGGAACAUGAUUGCCAGAGGAUGCUGCUUCCCUCCCUGGUUAUAAUUACGAGGAUGUGUGGUUUUGCUUAAAUGAGAAAACAAAUAGAUUUCCCCAGCCUUUCCCUUCCCCUCCAUCUGAGUAGACACUGCCUUUAUCAUAAGCUAAAAGAGAAAUAUUUAUAGGAAAGCCUUGUUAAAGUGCUGGCACGGUACUACCGCCUCUGGCUGAGCCAUAAACUCACUUGGGGGAAAAAAAUCACCCUGUGAAGGAUGCCAGCAAAAAAAAAAAAACAGUGUGUUGUUUGACUGCCAGGCUCGAACAAUGCACGGGUCUUGCCUCAGAUCUCCAGCCCAGCCUGGAUUUCCCCUGUCAGCAAGUCAUUUAGGGCCAGAUGCUUCGUGCUCAGGGCUGUCUUGGGCAGAGCUGAUCCCACCCUUGGGGAAGAGCAAGGGCCCUGAUGGCCAUGGAGAGUCCCAUCCUACUGUUUUCCAUGUUCAGUUCCCUUGAGGGUCAAGUGGAGCAUGGGAAGACAGAGAGCUGAAGAUGCGAAGACACGCUAAAUGCUAGAAGCCUCAGUGCUGUGUCCAGCAGAGGACCAUUGCUUGCAGGGAAAUGGCCACGCAGGAAUCCACUUGGGAGGGCUGUGACUCACCCAAGGCUUUUUUCCAUGAUGUUCCAGAUUUAAAUCCCAUGAUCCCAUACAAAUCCGCUACUUUGCAUCCUGCUCCUGGUGGACAGGGAGGACAUCUGGAGCAAGCUCUGAUCCUCAGCAGCAGCAGAAGGAGGACUCUGUCAUGUCACUGGCACCUCCACGCUGAGCUCCUCGUGUCCUCAGCAAAGCCUCGUGUGCUCCUCCAUCACCACUCUCCAGCCUCUUUUGAGCACAAGCUAUGACUCACCGCCACCCCACAUAUGGAAGCCAUCUGGGUCAUGCUGCUGAGCUUCCCCAGCUCCCCCUCCCCACAGCACGGCAGCCCAGGGGGAGAAGCUCUGCUCCAGCCUUGGCAGCUCACAUGUGCCCCGACCUCCCUGGUUCUGCAUUUGCAAGGCUGCACCAGCAGUUCCCACGCUCCUCCUGCACAUGACUGUGGGUUAGCUGGGCUCAAGACUCUGCUCAGAUCCUCUGAGGUCUGUUUUCUUCAUAGUCAUCUUCUGUAAGUCCCAGAUUCUACAAUGGUGGCCUUAUGGGAUUACGCACUUCUGGAUAUUUGGGUGAAAUGUUCAGUUAUACAAUCUCCCGUCUUCAGCUCUGGCCGACAGCAGAUCCUUCAGCAAGGAUACAAAAAGAGGGCAAAUAUGUACUGCUACUUCUCCAGAGCACUGUCCCUGCCACCAGUCCCUUCUGACAUGGGGUUUCUGAAGCCAAGGGAGCAAGUUUUCAGUUCAAUGACACAGCAUGAGCAUUUCUUCUCCAGAUUUUUCUUUUAGACGCAUAAACUACUCAUCACUGCAACAUCUUCUGUCAAGGAAGUCCACAUCUUGAUGACCCAUUAUGCAAAAGACCACCUUCAUUCUUGUCGUCCUCUGAAGCACCAGUGGCAUUGUUUUCAUGGCCACCUCAGACCAUCUUACCCUGUUGCCAGGAGGCUGUCAGGAGCUCCCAAAUUUCACAUCCACCAUCACAUCCCCUUCAGUUCAGCAGAGACGUUGGUGACUGCCUGAAGCAGCGAAAAGGAAGAAGAGGAAUCUUAUGGCCUUAUCCAGGACAUUGAGUUCUGUGAUCCAAGGGUUCCUUCGUGUCCACGAAGCUGUGAAUCACCCCUGAAGGAGCCAAAGAUAACUUAGCUCUGGUGGAAGCAUCUGCACCCUGGUGAACGAAGUGAAGCAAUCCCUAUCCCACAUCAAGCACCUUGGAUGCUUCCAGCUGCUUUGUGCAAUGUGGCUGAAACUGGUCUACUCUAUCUAACCAACUUUUGGAAGGUUUGAAAGCUGGGGGAGGAAGGGGUACAAACACAUACAUUGACGAUGCAGUGAUGGAACCAACCAGGAAUGCCAAGGACAUACCAGUGAGUGACCCCUCUUUGAAAGUGAAUUGCCCUUCACAAGGACAUGCCUAGAGCAACUCUAAAGCCAAGAACAACCCUACAGCGAAGGCAGCUUCUUGUAUCCUUUGGUCUCUCUGUCAUUGCUCUGGGACAUGGACUACCUCUGUUCCUCUCAGCCACAAUCCUGUGUCACUCUGGGAUGUCCUCCUGCUUGUGCAGAGCGAGGUAAAUGCUCUGGGGUGAGUUACACUGUUGUAGUAUGGCUCAUUUCCUUCCCCAGUUUCUCAUUUGCAAGCUCUGCAGGGAAAUCUACAUUUUCCACAACGAGAGUGAAUAUUGGGUGAGUCGCUCCAUUCCAGAAAUAAACUUAAACGCUUUCCUAAUUUCCUAACAUAAUAUGUUUUUCCCUUUUAUUUUAAUAAAAAAUAACAAUAAUAAAACAAAGCACCCUUUCUCCGUUUCUCUUCCUUACACAAACACAUAAUCCUGGUGCCUUAAUGUCUCAUCAAGAAAAUCCAGACUGGAGGCUGCAGCCAGGACUCUGUGCCACCUCGAUAUUUUGGACACAUAUUUGGACUCACAUAUGCACACAUUUUGCCUUCCCUGCCUCAGCAGGACAAGACUUCAGAUCUUUUCUUGCAUCCACAAGUUUGAAUGGAUACACCGAGCCUCAGCAGGGAAAGGUCAUUUCCACUCAUUGACAUUCACACUGUCUCCCCAUUUGUAUGCUUCUAGUGAUAUUUAUAUUUAAAAAGCAUCAGCCUGGCUAAGGAGAGACUUUCCAUUUGUCAGGAUUUCUGGGAAAAGGGAAAUUUCACACCUGUAGGAAUAUGGAUUUUUGACAGAAAAAAAGAAGAAAUCCUGAUGUAUCUUCUCCUAAUGGCCCUGCUCAGUUACUGGAUUGAGGCUGCUGCCAGUCCUGUGGAACGGCUUCCCAGAAAAGAGGGGUUUUCU
ensembl:lncRNA